CGUUCCCCACCCCGCCCAAUCGCCAGGACUGACACAGGCUGCCUAUCCCCCAGGUCAGCCUCCCUCGGUUGUUUUUCCUGGGCCAUCUCCACAAAUGAACACUGCACCGCAACCCAGACAGUUUGCUCCAGGGCCUCGUGCUUUACACCAACAGGUACUACCAAUUUUCAUA